rnacentral:rRNA from 1 species
GAUGAACGCUGGCGGCGUGCUUAACACAUGCAAGUCGAACGAGAAGUGAAGACGGAAACCUUCGGGCGGAAGGCUUUAUUUCGAGUGGCGGACGGGUGAGUAACGCGUGGGUAACCUGCCUCAUACAGGGGGAUAACAGUUGGAAACGACUGUUAAUACCGCAUAAGACCACAGCACCGCAUGGUGCGGGGGUAAAAACUCCGGUGGUAUGAGAUGGACCCGCGUUCGAUUAGCCAGUUGGCGGGGUAACGGCCAACCAAAGCGACGAUCGAUAGCCGAUCUGAGAGGAUGACCGGCCACAUUGGGACUGAGACACGGCCCAAACUCCUACGGGAGGCAGCAGUGGGGAAUAUUGCACAAUGGGGGAAACCCUGAUGCAGCGACGCCGCGUGAGUGAAGAAGUAUUUCGGUAUGUAAAGCUCUAUCAGCAGGGAAGAAAAUGACGGUACCUGAGUAAGAAGCCCCGGCUAACUACGUG